rnacentral:tRNA from 1 species
GGGGAUUUAGCUCAGUGGUAGAGCGCUUGCCUAGCAAGCGCAAGGCCCUGGGUUCAGUUCCCAGCUCCCCCC